CCCAGACAGCCAGGAUGUUGGCUUAGAAGCAGCCAUCAUUUAAAGAAAGCGUAAUAGCUCACUGGUCGAGUCGGCCUGCGCGGAAGAUGUAACGGGGCUAAACCAUGCACCGAAGCUGCGGCAGCGACGCUGAUGCGUUGUUGGGUAGGGGAGCGUUCUGUAAGCCUGUGAAGGUGUGUCGUGAGGCAUGCUGGAGGUAUCAGAAGUGCGAAUGCUGACAUAAGUAACGAUAAAGCGGGUGAAAAGCCCGCUCGCCGGAAGACCAAGGGUUCCUGUCCAACGUUAAUCGGGGCAGGGUGAGUCGACCCCUAAGGCGAGGCCGAAAGGCGUAGUCGAUGGGAAACGGGUUAAUAUUCCCGUACUUGGUGUUACUGCGAAGGGGGGACGGAGAAGGCUAUGUUGGCCGGGCGACGGUUGUCCCGGUUUAAGCGUGUAGGUGUGUGUUCCAGGUAAAUCCGGUUCACUUUAACACUGAGGCGUGACGACGAGGCACUACGGUGCUGAAGCAACAAAUGCCCUGCUUCCAGGAAAAGCCUCUAAGCAUCAGGUAACA
rnacentral:rRNA from 1 species